rnacentral:tRNA from 1 species
GGAUGUAGCUCAGUUGGUUAGAGCAUUGGUUUGUGGCACCAAGGGUCGUGGGUUCGAGUCCCAUCUUC